GUGCUUGCUUCGGCAGCACAUAUACUAAAAUUGGAACGAUACAGAAAUUAGCAUGGCCCCUGCUCAAGGAUGACACGCAAAUUCGUGAAGAGUUCCAUAUUUUU
rnacentral:snRNA from 1 species